rnacentral:rRNA from 1 species
UACGUAGGGUGCGAGCGUUAAUCGGAAUUAUUGGGCGUAAAGCGCGCGCAGGCGGUCUCUUAAGUCUGAUGUGAAAGCCCCCGGCUCAACCGGGGAGGGUCAUUGGAAACUGGGAGACUUGAGUGCAGAAGAGAAGAGUGGAAUUCCACGUGUAGCGGUGAAAUGCGUAGAGAUGUGGAGGAACACCAGUGGCGAAGGCGACUCUUUGGUCUGUAACUGACGCUGAGGCGCGAAAGCGUGGGGAGCAAACAGG